rnacentral:rRNA from 1 species
AUUACCGCGGCUGGUGGCACGAACUUAGCCCGUGCUUCCUCCAGGGAUCGGUCAAGGUUUCCCCUUCCUCCCCCUCGACAGGAGUUUACAACCCGAAGGCCUUCGUCAUCCACGCGGCGUCGCUCGGUCAGGCUUGCGCCCAUUGCCGAAGUUCUCGACUGCUGCCUCCCGUAGG